ACGGGGCGGCAGCAGCAGGGGUCGCGGCAGCAGCAGGGCUGGCAGCAGCCUCCCCCGUAGCUCAGGGAGGAGAAGGUGGAGCCGCAGCAGGAGCCGGUCACGGGGCGGCACACGGUGGUCUGGCAGGUCACGGGGCGGCAGCAGCAGGGGUCGCGGCAGCAGCAGGGCUGGCAGCAGCCUCCCCCGUAGCUCAGGGAGGAGAAGGUGGAGCCGCAGCAGGAGCCGGUCAUGGUGGUGUCUGAGGCUGGUGUGGGUUGGGCUAUUGAGAGGAGCUGGAUGUUCUCAGGUGUGAAUGUCCUCCUCCCCCUCUGGGCCCUUUAUAUACCCUGGCUGGGAGCUGAUGACCCUUCAACAUAUGAUCAUUUUCUUGUGCAUCUUCUGGCCAAUUAAGUGAAGAUUUAG
rnacentral:lncRNA from 1 species